rnacentral:rRNA from 1 species
AACGAACGCUGGCGGCAUGCCUAACACAUGCAAGUCGAACGAGACCUUCGGGUCUAGUGGCGCACGGGUGCGUAACGCGGGGGAACCUGCCCUUAGGUUCGGAAUAACUCCCCGAAAGGGGUGCUAAUACCGGAUAAUGUCUUCGGACCAAAGAUUUAUCGCCUUUGGAUGGGCCCGCGUUGGAUUAGCUAGUUGGUAGGGUAAAAGCCUACCAAGGCGACGAGCCAUAGCUGGUCUGAGAGGAUGAUCAGCCACACUGGGACUGAGACACGGCCCAGACUCCUACGGGAGGCAGCAGUGGGUAAUAUUGGGCGAUGGGCCAAAGCCUGAUCCAGCAAUGCCGCGUGAGUGAUGAAGGCCUUAGGGUUGUAAAGCUCUUUUACCCGGGAUGAUAAUGACAGUACCGGGAAAAUAAGCUCCGGCUAACUCCGUG